rnacentral:lncRNA from 1 species
AGGGAGUAGGAAAUUAAAUAUUAACAAUAAAGUAAAAAAAGAGAAAUUAAUUAUAAAGAGAUUAUUAAAACAGAAGAGUGAUUAUUUAAUAUUUAAGAUAAUUAAAGUGGGAUUUGGGAGUGUGGCAGUAAACAUUGAUGGGAGAAACAAAUAUUGUCCUAUAGGAAACGUAAAAUAGGUAUGGUAUCCCUGUUUGUGUGAUUGGAAGGUGGUAAUCAUAUCUCAGCACAAGUUGGUCUAAUCCUUUUUGUUUAGUUGGCAAAGGAGUGCAGGUAGAAAAGUUUGAACCGCUUCUUCCCCGGGAGACACAAAAGGAAAGUUUUUGCAGAAAACCGGAAACUAAUUAAGGGAAAGUCAUCAGGAAACGCUUCGAAUCCCAGCCCUUUCUACUUAAUAUCUAUCAUCCGUUUUCCUUUGAACUUUGAACCAACUCAAAGCAUUUACUCAAACACCUAGCUAGCUAGCUACCUGUCACCAACACAACUCAGAUUGCAUUAUUCCAAACGCUUCCUUGGGAACUUUCUCUUCUGUCAUAACUUGGAACUCGUGUACACUUCCUUACUGCUAAACCAAGCCCAAAACCCGUUCUUUUCUCUUUCGGCUCACGUAGAUCUGAAUACACUUUCAGAUUUUGCUCAUACUCACAAGGAACCUUCUAGAUGCCGAACCGUUGGUGGGCCGGGAACAUGGCGGUCAAGUCUGAUGACCCCAACUCAUCGCUUCAUCCCAGAGACCAAGACAGCGGCGACAACGCCAACAACGCCACUCCGACCAACAGCGGCAACAGUAACACCAACUUCAACGCUGGCGAGGACGACGAAAACCCCGCCAACAACAACGACGGCGACGACCAGAACCUUAGCAGCGGGCGGCGGCCCAGGGGCAGGCCGCCGGGGUCGAAGAACAAGCCAA